GACGAACGCUGGCGGCGUGCCUAAUACAUGCAAGUCGAACGCAUUUUCUUUCACCGUAGCUUGCUACACCGAAAGAAACUGAUUGGCGAACGGGUGAGUAACACGUGUGUAACCUGCCCAUCAGCGGGGGAUAACACUUGGAAACAGGUGCUAAUACCGCAUAAUUCCAUUUACCGCAUGGAAAAUGGAUGAAUGGCGCUUUUGCCUCACUGUUUCAUGGUCCCGCGGUGCAUUAGCUAGUUGGUGGGGUAACGGCCUACCAAGGCUGCGAUGCAUAGCCGCCCGGAGUGGGUGAUCGGCCACACUGGGAGUGAGACACGGCCCAGACGCCUACGGGAGGCAGCAGUAGGGAAUCGGCGGCAAUGGACGCAAGUCUGACCGAGAAACGCGGCGUGAGUGAAGAAGGUUUUCGGAUCGUAAAUCUCUGUUGUUAGGGAAGAACAAGGAUGAGAGUGGAAAGUUCAUCCCUUGACGGUAUCUAACCAGAAAGCCACGGCUAACUACGUG
rnacentral:rRNA from 1 species